CGAAGCGUGCGAUUGGAUUGCACGUCUAAGCAGUAAGGCUGAGUAUUAGGCAAAUCCGGUACUCAUUAAGGCUGAGCUGUGAUGGGGAGAAGACAUUGUGUCUUCGAGUCGUUGAUUUCACACUGCCGAGAAAAGCCUCUAGAUAGAAAAUAGGUGCCCGUACCGCAAACCGACACAGGUAGUCAAGAUGAGAAUUCUAAGGUGAGCGAGCGAACUCUCGUUAAGGAACUCGGCAAAAUGACCCCGUAACUUCGGGAGAAGGGGUGCUCUUUAGGGUUAACGCCCAGAAGAGCCGCAGUGAAUAGGCCCAAGCGACUGUUUAUCAAAAACACAGGUCUCUGCUAAACCGUAAGGUGAUGUAUAGGGGCUGACGCCUGCCCGGUGCUGGAAGGUUAAGAGGAGUGGUUAGCUUCUGCGAAGCUACGAAUCGAAGCCCCAGUAAACGGCGGCCGUAACUAUAACGGUCCUAAGGUAGCGAAAUUCCUUGUCGGGUAAGUUCCGACCCGCACGAAAGGCGUAACGAUUUGGGCACUGUCUCAACGAGAGACUCGGUGAAAUCAUAGUACCUGUGAAGAUGCAGGUUACCCGCGACAGGACGGAAAGACCCCGUGGAGCUUUACUGUAGCCUGAUAUUGAAAUUCGGCACAGCUUGUACAGGAUAGGUAGGAGCCUUUGAAACGUGAGCGCUAGCUUACGUGGAGGCGCUGGUGGGAUACUACCCUAGCUGUGUUGGCUUUCU
rnacentral:rRNA from 1 species